GGGGGCGUCACGGCUUCGACGGAAACGGUUGCGGUCAAAAGGCAUGCAGGGGCGCACCCACCCUUUAAUCGGAUGCACCAACAGAGUUGCCAACACUGAACUCGCAUACGCUGCUUAAUUAAUUAAGUAGCCGCUCUCCUCGGCUUCGCCUACGGGCCGGGGUCAGAGCGUCGCACAGUAGGCUGGCUCGCUUCUCUACGUCUGGGAGAGUGGGUGAGAUCAACAGGCUAGCCGGUGGCGUUUCUUGCCGCUUCUUAGCGUUACUGGCGAACGUUGUGGUUAACGACCACGGCUUGAACCGGCUAAGCAUGUAGGCUUUUGGCUUUCAGCGCUUUCGGACAGGGGUUCAACUCCCCUCGCCUCCACCA
rnacentral:tmRNA from 1 species